AAUCAGAGUUCAUUCUUUCAAAAGUUUGUUCUCAACAUCGGAAAGACAUACAAGUUCCUUGUAAAGUUGGAUGAGAACUCAAAGGAUGAACGUGCACAAGGAAAGAUAAUAGCACAAGAAAAACAAAUCCAAGAAGACAUCACAAUCAACGUUGAUGAUGAUGAUUCAGUUCUCGAUUUACCAAAAAAGAAGAUAAAGGUGGAGAAGGAUUGAUCAAGGGCCCACAAAAAUUAAACAUAAAUGUUUUUUAGUUUUAAUUACAUUUACAAAUUGAUUGAAGGAUUUCAAAUGAACUUUUCAUAUGCUUUUAAGAUUAGGAACUGAUGAAUUUAAUUUGUUAGGACAAUUUAUGAUUUAUACGCAUAUGCUGAUAUAGUUGUUUGAUAACUAUUGCAUGCUUUGAUUGUUAUUGCAAUUAUUAACUUAAAUUUAACAUUAAAUUAUGUGAAUCUAAAUACAUAUUUAGAGAAUAGCUCACUUUAUUACUUUAAAUUUGCAUGUCAACUAUUUUUAACUUAUCUAUACUGCACAUGAACUAUUGUUGAUGAGUCCUUUGCAAGAAAUAUGAUGACCAAGCACAGCGUACUGAACAUGUUGAGAGGAAAAAAUAACUUUCCAUAGAGAAGAUUCUCAAUGUUCUUAAAAGAAUAAUCAAUGAAGAUUGACUACUACUAGAUUUCAUAAGGAAAGAUGAUCGUCCAAGGCCAUUAUUAUUUUGAGGACAUGUAUGACUUGGUUCAGUCUGGAAGAAUGCAGAGGGACAAUUAUCUUUUCUGAGACAUGCUGUGUCUGCACCACCUGAUGUAUUUAAAUUUGCACAUUGUUCAAGACACCUGGUAAUU